CCAGACUCCUACGGGAGGCAGCAGUGAGGAAUAUUGGUCAAUGGGCUUACGCCUGAACCAGCCAAGUCGCGUGAGGGAAGACUGCCCUAUGGGUUGUAAACCUCUUUUGUCAGGGAGCAACGCCGGCUACGUGUAGCCGGACUGAGAGUACCUGAAGAAAAAGCAUCGGCUAACUCCGUGCCAGCAGCCGCGGUAAUACGGAGGAUGCGAGCGUUAUCCGGAUUUAUUGGGUUUAAAGGGUGCGUAGGCGGAGUGUCAAGUCAGCGGUAAAAUUUCGGGGCUCAACCCCGUCGUGCCGUUGAAACUGACGCCCUUGAGUGAGUGAGAAGUAAGCGGAAUGCGUGGUGUAGCGGUGAAAUGCAUAGAUAUCGCGCAGAGCUCCGAUUGCGAAGGCAGCGUACCGGCGCCGGACUGACGCUGAGGCACGAAAGCGUGGGUAUCGAACAGGAUUAGAUACCCCCGUAAAA
rnacentral:rRNA from 1 species